rnacentral:rRNA from 1 species
UACGUAGGGGGCAAGCGUUGUCCGGAUUUAUUGGGCGUAAAGAGCGUGUAGGCGGCCAUGUAGGUCCGUUGUGAAACCUCGAGGCUCAACCUCGAGACGCCGAUGGAAACCAUGUGGCUAGAGUCCGGAAGAGGAGAGUGGAAUUCCUGGUGUAGCGGUGAAAUGCGCAGAUAUCAGGAAGAACACCCGUGGCUAAGGCGGCUCUCUAGUACGGUACUGACGCUGAGACGCGAAAGCGUGGGGAGCGAACAGG